rnacentral:tRNA from 1 species
GUUUUUGUAGUUGAGGAACUCAACGAUGGCUUUUUCAGGGC